AUUGAACGCUGGCGGCAUGCCUUACACAUGCAAGUCGAACGGUAACUGGUUAAGCUGACGAGUGGCGAACGGGUGAGUAAUGUAUCGGAACGUGCCCAGUCGUGGGGGAUAACUGCUCGAAAGAGCAGCUAAUACCGCAUACGACCUGAGGGUGAAAGCGGGGGAUCGCAAGACCUCGCGCGAUUGGAGCGGCCGAUAUCAGAUUAGGUAGUUGGUGAGGUAAAGGCUCACCAAGCCGACGAUCUGUAGCUGGUCUGAGAGGACGACCAGCCACACUGGGACUGAGACACGGCCCAGACUCCUACGGGAGGCAGCAGUGGGGAAUUUUGGACAAUGGGCGCAAGCCUGAUCCAGCCAUGCCGCGUGCGGGAAGAAGGCCUUCGGGUUGUAAACCGCUUUUGUCAGGGAAGAAAAGGUUCUGGCUAAUACCUGGGACUCAUGACGGUACCUGAAGAAUAAGCACCGGCUAACUACGUG
rnacentral:rRNA from 1 species